CUGCUGCCUUCCGUAGGAGUUUGGACCGUGUCUCAGUUCCAAUGUGGGGGACCUUCCUCUCAGAACCCCUACGCAUCGUCGGCUUGGUGGGCCGUUGCCCCACCAACUACCUAAUGCGCCGCAUGCCCAUCCGUGACCGGGGUCGCCCCCUUUGGCCGGCAGGGGAUGUCCCCUCCCGGCAUUAUGUUGUAUUAGGCGGGAUUUCUCCCGGUUAUCCAUCUGUCACGGCCAGGUUGCAUACGUGUUACUCACCCGUGCNCCGGUCGCCGGCGG
rnacentral:rRNA from 1 species